rnacentral:rRNA from 1 species
CCUACGGGAGGCAGCAGUGAGGAAUAUUGGUCAAUGGGCGCGAGCCUGAACCAGCCAAGUAGCGUGAAGGAUGACUGCCCUACGGGUUGUAAACUUCUUUUAUAAAGGAAUAAAGUGAGGCACGUGUGCCUUUUUGUAUGUACUUUAUGAAUAAGGAUCGGCUAACUCCGUGCCAGCAGCCGCGGUAAUACGGAGGAACCGAGCGUUAUCCGGAUUUAUUGGGUUUAAAGGGAGCGUAGAUGGGUUGUUAAGUCAGUUGUGAAAGUUUGCGGCUCAACCGUAAAAUUGCAAUUGAUACUGGCAGCCUUGAGUACAGUUGAGGUAGGUGGAAGUCGUGGUGUAGCGGUGAAAUGCUUAGAUAUCACGAAGAACUCCGAUUGCGAAGGCAGCUUACGAAACUGCCACUGACAUUGAUGCUCGAAAGUGUGGGUAUCAAACAGGAUUAGAUACCCUGGUAGUC